AUUGAACGCUGGCGGCAUGCUUUACACAUGCAAGUCGAACGGUAACAGGCCUUCGGGUGCUGACGAGUGGCGAACGGGUGAGUAAUGCAUCGGAACGUGCCCAAUCGUGGGGGAUAGCGUAGCGAAAGUUACGCUAAUACCGCAUAAGCCCUGAGGGGGAAAGCAGGGGAUCGCAAGACCUUGCGCGAAUGGAGCGGCCGAUGUCAGAUUAGCUAGUUGGUGGGGUAAAGGCCUACCAAGGCGACGAUCUGUAGCGGGUCCGAGAGGAUGAUCCGCCACACUGGGACUGAGACACGGCCCAGACUCCUACGGGAGGCAGCAGUGGGGAAUUUUGGACAAUGGGCGGCAAGACCUGAUCCAGCCAUGCCGCGUGCGGGACGAAGG
rnacentral:rRNA from 1 species